UACGUAGGGGGCAAGCGUUAUCCGGAAUCAUUGGGCGUAAAGGGCAUGCAGGCGGUCUGCCAAGUUCAUACUGACAAUUCUCGGCUUAACCGAGAAGGGCGUGUGAAAACUGGCUGACUUGAGAGCGAGAGAGGGACACGGAAUUCCAGGUGGAGCAGUGAAAUGCGUAGAGAUCUGGAGGAACACCAAAGGCGAAGGCAGUGUCCUGGCUCGUUUCUGACGCUCAGAUGCGAAAGCCAGGGGAGCGAACGGG
rnacentral:rRNA from 1 species